rnacentral:rRNA from 1 species
GGGCCCGCACAAGCGGUGGAGCAUGUGGUUUAAUUCGAUGAUACGCGAGGAACCUUACCAGGGCUUAAAUGUAAGUUGCAUUAGUUAGAGAUAGCUAUUUCUUCGGACUACUUACAAGGUGCUGCAUGGUUGUCGUCAGCUCGUGCCGUGAGGUGUCAGGUUAAGUCCGGCAACGAGCGCAACCCACAUCCCUAGUUGCCAGCAGUUCGGCUGGGCACUCUAUGGAAACUGCCUGUGAUAAGCAGGAGGAAGGUGUGGAUGACGUCAAGUCCUCAUGGCCCUUACGGGUUGGGCUACACACGUGCUACAAUGGUAGUGACAAUGGGUUAAUCCCAAAAAGCUAUCUCAGUUCGGAUUGGGGUCUGCAACUCGACCCCAUGAAGUCGGAAUCGCUAG